GAUGAACGCUGGCGGCGUGCCUAAUACAUGCAAGUCGAGCGAACAGACGAGGAGCUUGCUCCUCUCACGUUAGCGGCGGACGGGUGAGUAACACGUGUAUAACCUACCUAUAAGACUGGUAUAACCUCGGAAAACCGGCGCUAAUACCGUAGAAUCUCUUGCACCGUAGUGUUCAAUAGUGAAAGACGGUUUUGCUGUCUCUUAUAGAUGCAUCCGCGCUGCAUUAGCUAGUUGGUAAGGUAACGGCUUACGAAGGCAACGCUGCGUAGCCGACGGAAUAGGGGGGUCGCCCACACGGGAACGUGGACGGGGACCAGAGUCCUACGGGAGGCAGCAGUAGGGAAUGUUCCGCAAUGGGGGAAAGCCUGACGGAGCAACGGCGAGUGAGUGAUGACGGUCUUCGGAUCGUAAAACUCUGUUAUUAGGGAAGAACAAAUUUGUAAGUAACUGUGCACGUCUUGACGGUACCUAAUCAGAAAGCCACGGCUAACUACGUG
rnacentral:rRNA from 1 species